AGCUUUGCACAGUGGCAGUAUCGUAGCCAAUGAGGUUUAUCUAAGGCGUGAUUAUUGCUAAUUGAAAACUUGAAACCUCAAAGCCCACCCCUAAUGGCAUACUUCCUACAGAAGA
ensembl:snRNA LOC120096089 U4 spliceosomal RNA